rnacentral:rRNA from 1 species
GAUAAACGCUGGCGGCGCACAUAAGACAUGCAAGUCGAACGGACUUAACUCAUUCUUUUAGAUUGAGAGCGGUUAGUGGCGAACGGGUGAGUAACGCGUGAGCAACCUGCCCUUCAGAGGGGGACAACAGUUGGAAACGACUGCUAAUACCGCAUAACGCAUUCGAGGGGCAUCCCUUGAAUGCCAAAGAUUUAUCGCUGAAAGAUGGGCUCGCGUCUGAUUAGCUAGUUGGUGGGGUAACGGCCCACCAAGGCGGCGAUCAGUAGCCGGACUGAGAGGUUGAACGGCCACAUUGGGACUGAGAUACGGCCCAG